rnacentral:rRNA from 1 species
UACGAAGGGGGCUAGCGUUGUUCGGAAUUACUGGGCGUAAAGCGCACGUAGGCGGAUAUUUAAGUCAGGGGUGAAAUCCCGGGGCUCAACCCCGGAACUGCCUUUGAUGCUGGGUAUCUCGAGUCCGAGAGAGGUGAGUGGAAUUCCGAGUGUAGAGGUGAAAUUCGUAGAUAUUCGGAGGAACACCAGUGGCGAAGGCGGCUCACUGGCUCGGUACUGACGCUGAGGUGCGAAAGCGUGGGGAGCAAACAGG